GAGCUAAUGUGCACCGGUGUUGAAACAGUGAGUUAAAGUGUGAUUCAGGGUUUGACGUUGUUGAAGUAAGAAGUGCUCAGAGGAACAGGGGCGUCUGUUGUCUGGACUUUGUCUCAUGAGGCAAACAAAAGAGAGACAGCAGGAGUUCAGCUGCAGGUAUUUAGCUUACGAGGCAGACCCUCAUGUUAGUCACCAAAUCAAAACUAGAAAUGAUUUGUAGCCAUUUCUAAGAAGAUCUGUUUCACCAUCCUGCAUCCUGUUUGUCAUUUAAACCACUGCAGCUGUUUGAAGGUUAUGACAGACUACAUGGCAGUAUUUUCACAUCUUACUGUCAGUGACCAGUUAGACAAAGUUUCUCGGGAGUAAUACGCUCUGAAGAGGUUUUCAGAGUUUAGUUUGAUGACUGGGACGGUCACUGCUGCAAUGGUUGGAAGUUCCUAAAGAGGUCCAGAGUCAGAGAUGAACAAUAACAAAACCACUUCUACAUUAAAAUGUCUUCAACCUAUUCCAUAGUGUGUGAUUUCACACAUAGCCGUGGUUUUGAUUUCGAGACCCCUUGAGUUAAAUGUCAUACUGUGCAUUUAAAACAAAAGGUUACUCAUUUUAAAAUGUGGAUUCAGUUAACCAACAUAAAAAAGAACAAGGAUUAACUAUAGACUGUGACCUACCACAGGUGUUCAGAUGUGUUGGUCUUUGCAAAGCAUAGCCUAUAAUUUGUGUAUUUGUCGCUAAACAAGAGGACUAACAUGACCAAACUCGUCACUGGGCAUCAGACUAUCAGACUCCUGUAGCCCUGAUGAAGAAAACGCGUCCUCGCUUUAGGAACUUCCAGCCAUCAGAGCGUUGAUUGUUCGUCAUAAAGACAGUGCCUGAACAUGACAUGGAAAAGUUUAAUGGAUGUAGCCUCAGCUGAGGUACGACGGCUCUGAACUGAUGAGAAAUGGCUUCAGAUCAAAAAAAAAUCAGAACACUGUUUUGUUUUGUUUUAUCGGUUUCAAUGCUGUUGGACUUGGAUCAACUUCUCAGGACAGGGCAUUUGCAGUUUAUGUGUGAAAUACAAAUAUGUGUCUAAAAAUAUAUAUAUAUGUAUAAGACAAAGAAAAAAAAUGCAUCUAAUCACAUAUAGUUUAAUCAUAACAUCCAUACAUGUCUUGCUGUAUUGCUAUUAUGAAACAUUAUGUGUGUACAUAUUCCCAGUCUGUAGCUGGAUGUAGAGACUGCUGCAGACGUUUUGUGUCAUCGCUGGUUCAUUUCACCUCAAAUACAUAUGCAUCUACGUCUUUAUAUGAAAACAUUACUCAGAAGUCUUUACUGUGGAGAGCACAGACUACAGGCAGGCCAUCAUAGCUCCAUGCUGCUUCAUUAUAAAUAUGCUGCGGUCAGUAGCUGAAACAUGGAGUCUGGAUUGGCCAAUCUCUCUUUCAAAGCUCUUGCACAGUAUUUCAGUUUUUUUAUUUUUUAGAAAUCACUCUCCGUACUCUGAAUCUGCUUCGGAUGCCUCUGCAGAGAACAUCAUCCUCAAAGUCCUUUCAUUAUAACAUCAUAUUAUCAGCUGCAUUAUCAUGUAACUCUGAAGACUUUAUGCAUUAACAUGCUUUAUGCGUACUGUAGAAAAAUAUGCAGUAACAACCGAGUCAGGCUCAUCUGGGGACAAAGCAUUUAUUUUCCUACUGUCAGUACAUGCACUGAGCUUCAAUGCUGAGACCAAGCGAAAGCGCCAAACCACUAUGAUGAAGACGUUUGCAUUCAACUUCACAGACUGUGUAAGAACAGCUUCACUGUGGUGGAUGGAGCUGAUCUGUAUGCACUGCUUAAAGGAUCAACAUCUCAUGAAACGUAACAGAGGGGGGGCUAUCACCAUGUUGCUCCUCCAGUAUGCACACGCAGCAAAAUGUAGAUUUUAAAUACAUUGUACAGGCUUCAUGUAAAACUGUACAGACAUCGUGUGUGUCCAGCUUUGGUACUUUAUUUUUCUCCCACAUCCUCCUCUGACUAACACCGGAGUUUCCCUCACUCUUCUCCUUCUGCUGACCUCUCACUUUAAAUUGCAUGCGCUCAUCUGUAAAUAAUGUGUUUAUAGUUGUGGCUUAAAAAAACCCCCACUGUGGGUUCAAAUGUCCCUUGUUUCGUCCCUCUGUGUGUCUCGUCUGUGUAAAGCGGUCUUAGAUGUAGGCUUGGCUGUCUUCAUCAUCUUGGAUUAAUGCAUGUUCUCUGUUCUUGUCGAGAGGAGGGAGGUGAAAGAGGAAGAGUUUGAGGCUUUUAUGGACAUUUUACAUCAAUCAGAAUCAGGCAUCAGUCAUCUGAGCAGUUUAAAGGAUUUAAACACCCAAGCGCAUCGUGCAGUGUGCUUUGGGUUGAAUUUUAACCGCUAACUUGAAAAGAACUGCUAAUAUUGUUAGCUUCUUGUAAGAAAAACAGUAAGGGCGAUGUCUCAUCACAAAGAGGAACAAUUACGGUAAUGAUGGCUGCUUGGAAAAGAUGAAAACAUGUUUGGCUAGUUGGCUUCAUUGUGCUUUCGCUCUGUGUGUAUAUCAAUAAAACCAGAUGCUGCCACUAACAGCUAAGCGCUCUGCGAGUGGUGCAUGACACUGAAUGAACUGUAGGACUGUUUCGUUUAUUAAGAUGGUUAAGAAAUAAUAAUCUGAGUAAAUGUAAAGUAAAACUACAUCUCAAAUCAUUGCAAACAUCAAAAGGCCUUUUGUUUCUGGAAUAAAGAAAUGUCACUUUAAUGCUAAUUAAAUUAGCUUGUAGCUCAUUUAUCAUGUUCUUUAUUUAGUUCUGUUUUAAUCAUUACCUUACCUUUGGAAAAUUGCUAAUCUUGUUAGCUUCCUUUCAGUAAAUUUAAAAACAAAAACAUUUGUCUCAGCACAAACAGGAUCAAUUCAUUAUGGCGGCAUGGGAAAGAUUCAAGAGCAGCCUGAAAAUGUUUGGCUGCAGUUAGCUUCAUUUUGCUUCCGCUGUGUGUUUCAUUAAAGCCAGACGCUAACAUCUAACGCCUGAACUCAUUGCAAAUGGCGCAUGCUACUGACUACUGAAAAGAUAAAAGAUGAGACUGAAAAGGUUUGGCUAGUUAGCUUCUUUGUGAAAGCUCUCAUUAAAAUUGUAACGCUUAUAUCCAACCUCACAAGUCACAUGCUACUGAAUGAAUGGUUAAUAUGUUCAGUUUGUUUAAAAUAUUUAAAGAACUAAAGUGUUCAGUUAAACCACUCAUCAAAAGGCCCUUAGUUCGGGAAUUACGUUAGCUUGUUUCUCAUUUAACUUUUCAACUAUCAACUUGACAAGAAUUGCAUCUUGUUAGCUUACAUCAUUUAGUUUAUGAUAGCUGCUUGAAAAAUAUUAAACGUCUCUCAAAUUGUGCUUUGUGUUUUAUUAAAGCUAGAUGCUAACGCUAACACAUAACGUCAUUGCUAACGGCACAUGCUACUGACAAAGAUGAAAAAUAUGUUUGAAAAGCUCCGCAUUGAACAAAUGGAAAGUAACCACUCAUCCCAGUUUAAACAGCUAAAGGCCUUUUGUUUCUGUAAUUAAAUAAGACUCUGUAGCAUUACAUUAGCAUGUAGCUCUUGAAACAGUUAGCAGCCUUUUGAGUUUAAAAGGGAGUUUUAGCCUUUUGAGAUUUAGCUCUUGUUUGGAGCUACUGAACUACUUAUCCUGUGUUAAACCGUAUAUAAACAUGGACUGAGAGAACACGUUUUGUUGCCUGUUUGAACAUAAAACUGUGAUUUAAAAAACACAUCAUCCACACCAUCCACCAGUCGAUGUCAUAUCUGAAGUUUCACAAAUUCAGAACUUUCUGACAUGAGUCAAGUAUUUACAAACCUUAAAUUAAAUUAAAUACCUAAGACACAAUAUUUACUUUUGAUUGAUUAUUUAAGAUUUUAAAUAUUUGAACUCAGGUCGACUAUAUGCAAAUCUAUUUGACAUCACGUGGUAUAAGAGAAAAACAAGUAUUAUUUCAGUGUUGUGUCGGCAUGUACAGUAGCAGAUUCUCUUGCACGGUCACUUUGUUGUUUUUGAUUGUUGGACUGAUUGUUUAGUUGUUUUAUUGGUUUAGUUAGAUUAUUUUAUUUAUUUAUUUUUGUCAUUUAGUCUCUUUUUAAUAAGAAACUCUGGGAGAUUUAAUUUAAGAAGAAUAAGACAAAAAAAAAAAAAAGCCCCAAAUAAUGACCCCCGUCUUCUGGGACAACCAAGCCUUAUGAACUUUGUGAAGUGAAAAUUUUGAAUGUUUGUAUGUUAUAAAAAGAAAACAUGGAUUGUUUUAUAUGUUAAUACUGCCACAAUAAAGCUCCCUGAUGAAUAUAUAUUGAAA